UACGUAGGGGGCAAGCGUUGUCCGGAUUUAUUGGGCGUAAAGAGCGUGUAGGCGGCCAGGUAGGUCUGCUGUGAAAACUCGAGGCUUAACCUCGAGCUGUCGGCGGAAACCAUCUGGCUAGAGUCCGGAAGAGGAGAAUGGAAUUCCCGGUGUAGCGGUGAAAUGCUUAGAUAUGACAUAGAACACCAAUUGCGAAGGCAGCUGGCUACACGAAUAUUGACACUGAUGCACGAAAGCGUGGGGAUCAAACAGG
rnacentral:rRNA from 1 species